UAGUCAUUGCUGCAGUCAGCCCACAGCACUGUGCCCAUUUUACCAGCCAUCCACGGAGGAGGAGGCAAGAGGUCCUUACGGCAGCAGUUUGGGGACAGGUGGACACAGAGCUAAAAAGAUCAUGGGGAAGCAGCAGGCUAAAACUGAGGAGAAAAUAUAACCCCAGAGAGAACCAAGAUGGCGGAGUAGAAGGACAUGCUCUCACUCCCUCUUGUGAGAACACCAGAAUCACAACUAGCUGCUGGACGAUCAUUGACAGGAAGACACUGGAACUCACCAAAAAAGAUACGGCACAUCCAAAGACAAAGGAGAAGCCACAAUGAGAUGCCUUGGUCUCUUUGCUGAAUUCUUUCUUCAAAGAAGACAACAACCGAGGUCCUUCUUCCAGCUUCUCACUGUGGGAAUCAAAGCCUUCAGAUAAAGCCACAGCCCUGGCCAUCAGCUUGACUGCAGCCUCAUAAAAGACCUUAAGCCAGAGCCACCAGCUAGGUUCCUACUCACAAAAACUGGAGAUAAUAAAUGUUUGGGGUUUUGAUGCUGAGUUUGGGGAUAAUUUGUUACAUGUCAAUAAGUAACUAAUAUAACCACCAUCUACAACACUUCAAAAUAUAUCAAGUACCUAGAAGUAAAUCUAACCAGAAAUGUACAAAAUUCAGAUAAAAUUCUAAAACUUAAUUGGGACAUCAGAUAUAAACUGACACACUCACCAAUGGUCCCAUA